rnacentral:rRNA from 1 species
CACGUAGGGCGCAAGCGUUGUCCGGAAUUAUUGGGCGUAAAGAGCUCGUAGGCGGUCUGUUGCGUCCGCUGUGAAAACUCGGGGCUUAACCCCGAGCCUGCAGUGGAUACGGGCAGACUAGAGGUAGGUAGGGGAGAAUGGAAUUCCCGGUGUAGCGGUGAAAUGCGCAGAUAUCGGGAGGAACACCGGUGGCGAAGGCGGUUCUCUGGGCAUGAUCUGACGCUGAGGAGCGAAAGUGUGGGGAGCGAACAGG